rfam:Astyanax mexicanus chromosome 5, whole genome shotgun sequence.
GCUCCAGUGGCGCAAUCGGUCAGCGCGCGGUACUUAUACAGCAGUGCUAGUGAAGCCAUGUCGAGGUUGUGAGUUCGAGCCUCACCUGGAGCA